ACUAAGUUGUUCUUGUUCUCACACUCUAGUCUCCUGAUGUCUCAGAGAGGUGUGGGGAAAGAUACACACAUUUCUCAUGCCAGAAGAUGCAUGCCAGUGGAUCUAAAGAAGUCUAAUGUGAACAAAGAGAAGAGUCUUCAAAUAUCUGACUUAUAUAUUCUUCCUGGGAUUUUGGAUAUAAUCAGUGAAAACAACAGAAUGCCCUUUUAUUGGCUACUCAAACAGCCUGAGCUGUGUUUCCAUUCAUGAUGUAACUUUCAAAGUGAAUUUACAAAGCAACUGGAUUCACAUGCUGGUGUCCCAACCUCGUUUUAAUAGAAUGUUCUGCUUGUGGCCCUCACAAACUCCCCACUGCUUGCUGAGGUGGAUUAAAAGAUGCAAACUCACUGAAAUACGCCAAAGAAUAUAAUGGUCUCUACAGAAGAUCUGGCUGUGUCAACCAACAAAAAGUUCCAGCUGUGGCCGCUGUGUGGAACAAAGGGAACUCUUGGCUUAACAUGGAGUGCAUGCUUCUGACGUUCCAGUUCAGGCAAGAAAUAAAUAAAGCUAUUACAAAGCCCUUGACCAGAUGUGUCUGACAUAGUCUAAAAUCUGUUUGCACAGAAACUUCGCUAUCAACGUGGCUCAUUCUUAUAGCAACGGACAUCUGUUCCUAGAGGCAAAUGGGGGGUACAGUCCAUAAUCACAGUACAGACCUGAUCUGGCUAGCCUCUUUGAACUGCCUUUUCCCUGGGUGCUGUUGUUCACAUUAAUCUGUAUAGUCUCAGUCAUGUGUGGGUCAAUGAUUUAUUUAACACAGAAUCUGAAUGCUUCUGUGUCAUGGAAUCAAACUCUGUCCAAUAGUCAAAGACUUGAAAAUUUCCAUUUGUUUUCCAGAAGCAGUUGUACACAUUCCCCAUAGAUAACUUGACACUGUUAUGCCCUGUCACAGUUUACAUCUGUCUUUGACUUAUAUUGUUCCUAAGGUUGGCUAUUGAUCAUUGUUCUCAUAUGAAUCCUUCAUUACUCUAAUUGGAACCAUUUAUAAACACAUUCCUUGGACAGAUGACAAAAGGAUCCAUGAUGGACAACUUCUUAUUCAAAACAGCUGCUCAAUAUGUAAAUCAAAAGCUGUUAAAGAUUGUAUUGAGCUGAGAACAAUUAUACAAGGUUCUAGCCUGUUGUGAAUUAAAAUGACUGCAUUAGAGCUUAAGAGAUUUGUAAAGGGAGUCUUUCUUUUCAAGAAUGCCAGUCUAAAUUCAGCUCAGGUCGUUGACAAGUAAUAUCACAUGAAAAUAAUGUAAAAUAAAUCUAUGCUCUCAACUUUAUGUUAUUAAUAGAUAGAUGACAUCUUCCAAAAUCUCUAUUUACUGCAGCCAGUUCUUUGGUUGUCUUAUCUGAAAACUUAAAGACUGAAGGUCACAACUAGACUAAGGAACUUAAUUUAGAAUUUGUUUUAAGUUUUAGAAUUUAGAAAAUGUUCAUCAUUUUAGACAUAUUAUGAGAUUUUCUUUAAAUUACUCUUAGUUCUGCUUACAAACACACAGGAUUUCUCCUUCCCCUUUUUAUCUGAAACUGAAAGGCAAACUGAAUAAUCUGGAUUUCCUGCUGUGGCUCAGUGGUAAUGAACCCUACUAGUAUCCAUGAGGACGUGGG